GAUGAACGCUGGCGGCGUGCCUAAUACAUGCAAGUCGAGCGAACAGACGAGGAGCUUGCUCCUCUGACGUUAGCGGCGGACGGGUGAGUAACACGUGGAUAACCUACCUAUAAGACUGGGAUAACUUCGGGAAACCGGAGCUAAUACCGGAUAAUAUAUUGAACCGCAUGGUUCAAUAGUGAAAGACGGUUUUGCUGUCACUUAUAGAUGGAUCCGCGCCGCAUUAGCUAGUUGGUAAGGUAACGGCUUACCAAGGCAACGAUGCGUAGCCGACCUGAGAGGGUGAUCGGCCACACAGGAACUGGGACACGGUCCAGACUCCUGCGGGAGGCAGCAGUAGGGAAUCUUCCGCAAUGGGCGAAAGCCUGACGGAGCAACGCCGCGUGAGUGAGGAAGGUCUUCUGAUCGUAAAACGCUGUUAUUAGGGAAGAACAAAUGUGUAAGUAACUAUGCACGUCUUGACGGUACCUAAUCAGAAAGCCACGGCUAACUACGUG
rnacentral:rRNA from 1 species